rnacentral:tmRNA from 1 species
GGGGGUGUUCUGGCUUCGACGGGACGCGUAAUAUCGCAGGUUGCAUGUCGAGAUUGUCCAAUGGAUCUCGUAAUAAGAACCAUUAUGGAAAUUAAUGUAAUUGACAAUAAUUACUCAUACCGACUAGCAGCGUAAGCUGACUGGUCUGUUCCCCCGGUGGCGUGCCUAUCAGUGCCGGGCUGAACAUCAUACAAGAUAGGAUAGCGUAUUGGUGUUUUCUGUCUACAAUGCGUGAAACUUAAACAGAAUAGCUUGAAGUCGCUUUGUUACUGGGCUCGGCUUCUCGCGAAAUUUAAUCAGUAACUAAACAUGUAGAUGUUUGUAGGUUUACUGUUUCGGACCGGGGUUCGACUCCCCGCACCUCCACAA